GACGAACGUUGGCGGCGUGCUUAAUACAUGCAAGUCAACUGAAGCAGUGGUAGCAAUAUCGCUGUGGAGGUGGCGCACGGGUGAGUAACACGUAGGUAAUCUGCCUUCAGGUCCGGCAUAACUCCGGGAAACCGGGGCUAAUAGCAGAUGAUGCAGCGGCUCGACAUCGAGACAGUUGUUAAAGCUAUGGCGCCUGAAGAUGAGCCUGCGUCUGAUUAGCUAGUUGGCGGGGUAACGGCCCACCAAGGCAACGAUCAGUAGCUGGUCUGAGAGGAUGAUCAGCCACACUGGAACUGAGACACGGUCCAGACUCCUACGGGAGGCAGCAGUAAGGAAUAUUGCUCAAUGGGAGAAAUCCUGAAGCAGCAACGCCGCGUGAGGGACGAAGGGCUUUUGCUUGUAAACCUCUGUAGUGAGAGAAAAAAAUCCCAAUCUUUGGGACAUGAUGGUAUCUCAAAAGUAAGCCCCGGCUAACUACGU
rnacentral:rRNA from 1 species